CUGAGGGAAGAGCAAUCGACCCUGACCGCGUGGGAGAAGUCAGCAGAGGGCAAAGUAGGCGAAGGAAACGAGCCGGAAUAGAAAUCCGGAUGGCCUCAUAUCGCCGAAGGCC
rfam:Syntrophobacterales bacterium GWC2_56_13 gwc2_scaffold_3176, whole genome shotgun sequence.